AAAAAGUGGAACACUGAGAUAAUUGACAAGUAAGACUUAAGGAGAAUCAGAGAAGACUAUCAGGAUGAAUUCUGAGCAUCUUCAGCUGGAUUUUCAUGGGAAACUGAGCUAUGGAAGCUUGAGGCCUAACUCAGUACGGAAGGU